AGCAGCCGCGGUAAUUCCAGCUCCAAUAGCGUAUAUUAAAGUUGUUGCAGUUAAAAAGCUCGUAGUUGAAUUUCGGGAUCAAAGGAUCGGUCAUGCCUUGGUAUGUACUGGUUUUAUUGGUUCUCACCUUCUAAAGAACCAUAAUGUCAUUCAUUUGAUGUUAUGGGGAAUUAGGACUGUUACCUUGAAAAAAUUAGAGUGUUUAAAGCAGGCUUACGCUUGAAUACAUUAGCAUGGAAUAAUGAAAUAGGACAUCAGAUUCUAUUUUGUUGGUUUCUAGGAUCGAUGUAAUGAUUAAUAGGGAUAGUUGGGGGCAUUAGUAUUCAAUUGUCAGAGGUGAAAUUCUUGGAUUUAUUGAAGACUAACUACUGCGAAAGCAUUUGCCAAGGAUGUUUUCAUUAAUCAAGAACGAAAGUUAGGGGAUCGAAGACGAUCAGAUACCGUCGUAGUCUUAACCAUAAACUAUGCCGACUAGGGAUCGGAUGAUGUUAAUUUAUAAUGACUCAUUC
rnacentral:misc_RNA from 1 species